rnacentral:tRNA from 1 species
GCCUUCGUGAUGCAAUGGUCAGCACGCUCGGCGCAUAUUCGAGAGGUCCGAGGUUCGAGUCCCACCGAGGGCA